rnacentral:siRNA from 1 species
CGUUUCUUAUUUUGUGCCGAAGC